CUGCAUUUUGCAUGAGCUAUCUAGGUCAUUAGCAUUUUAGCGUAUGCAAGACUUGACAAGGCUGAUGAGGGGCCAGAUGGGCCUCGCUCUUAUUUAUUUAUUUUUUUUUCUUUUCCUUUUUCCCAUCCACCACUUGGGACCUAAGCGAGAGGACCGCAGCAGGAGAGUUCCGGAAGGCUGAUUCCCACAGAUCCUGGUAAGGGACCGCAGCAGCUCUGCCCUGCGGCACGCCCGGCCAGGCUACACCAGGACUCUACACUCAAGGAAAAAGCUUGGAAACGAAAGGAUGCGGGAGAACAAAGAGCCUACGGAGGACGUGGCUGUUAUCUCAUUGUCUGUGACUGGGGGAGCUGCGGUAGGAAGGAUGCGGUGGUCCUUAGCUCAUCGCGUUCCCCAACCCCACACCCUCCCUGCUGUCAGUGCGCACGCACAAGCACGCGUCGCCAGCUUUUUCUUUCUCAUUCCUCGUUUUUUCAUCUCAUCUUCUCCCCAUCCCCUCCCUUUCUUUCCACCUUUCCUUCCUUUCUUCUUUCCUCCCUUUCCCCUAUCCUCCCUCCCUCCCUUCCAUCCUUCCUUCCUUUCCAUCCUUCCUUCUUUCUCUCUUUCCUUCCUUCUUUCUUUCCUUCCUUCCUUCUUCCUUCCUCAGGAGAAAGGCCUCUCUCUCCGUGUUCACAGCGGACCUUGAU
rnacentral:lncRNA from 1 species